rnacentral:lncRNA from 1 species
CACAGUGCUACGCUGGCUGUGUGAGAGUGUAUUUGUGCGCCGGUGCUGCCAACUAACAUCGCAGUACUUGUUUUAUAAUCUGUACCUGUGCCUUCCAUGCACCAGGUGCCAGGCGCCAGGCUGAGCUCGUGCAGUUAAGAGAGAAAAACAGACAGACAUUCUUAGGGAGCUGUCAGACUGAAAAGAAAUUGUCCUCGGCACCACAAGGAGAAAUGUGUGGGGGGCUGCAUCUAGCCUGAGUGGCCUGGGAGAGCUUGCCGGGGAAGUCAUGUUUAUGCUGAGGUCUAAGGAAGGACAAGGAAGGAGCCUGGCAGAUACUGAGUGGAGGGAACAGUGUUCCAGGCAGAAGGAACAGCAUACACGAAGGCCCUGAGGCACACGUAUGUUCACUUGUUAGGAGAACUCAGAGGACAGUGAGUCUGGAGCGUGGGGAGCCGGGGUGAGAGGACAAGCUGGGAAGGGAGGGACAUACAGGGACAGACCAUGUGGCACCUUGCAGGCCUUACAAAGGGGUUCUGUACUGUUUUAAAACCAGAUCAUUAAAAAAAUACUAAGGCAAGCUUUGCAAGUCAGAGUAAGAUUUUGGCUUUUCAGAAUUCCAAGGUCUAUUGCAAUAUGAAAUCAGUGAAAGGCAUUGCUGAACUCUUUUUUUUUAUUGUUUAUUUUUAUUUACGUACUUGUCUCUGCUAGGUCUCGCUUGCGGCAUGUGGGAUCUAGUUCCUUGACCAGGGAUGGAACCCAGGUCCCCUGCAUUGGGAGCGCAAAGUCUUAACCAUUGGACCAGCAGGGAUGUCCCUGUGGCUAUAAUUCAUGUCUGCUUCUCACAAGCAUUUCACGCACGUGACCCUGCAUUCUGACACCCGCACCCAGGGCAUCAUUACUACCCACGGCCCAUUGACACAGGGAGGCUUUGCAGACGGCCGCCAUCUCCCUGGCCUCCCCGGCGUACCUCUCGUGGGCAGAAGCUUGGACUCUGGGAUCUGGUGUGACCGCCGGGGAAGGCACGGGGUGGGCUGGGCGGGAGGCAGUUUUCCACCCGCCGCCCGCCUCUCCUGUCCAUCAUCCAUCCCCAGCUUCCUCUCACCGGCAGGUCAGCCAGCCCCAAGGAACGCGGCUGUCCUUCAGUAUCUCCCUGAGCUGCUCACACUCAUGUCCAUUAAAUUGAGGCCAUCCAGCCAUCUCAUCCUCUGAGGCCCCCUUCUCCUCCUGCCCUCCAUCUUCCCCAGCAUCAGGGUCUUUUCCAGUGAGCUGGCUCUUUGCAUCUGGUGGCCAAAGUACUGGAGCUUCAACUUCAGUGUCAGUCCUUCCAGUGAAGAAAUUGGAGAAAUUGGAACUGUCCAAAUUCUCCACUGCCGGUGGGAAUGCAGAUGGUGCAGCCAUCAUGGAGAACAGCGUGGCAGUGCCUCAACAAAUUAAGCACAGAAUUACCAUAUGACCCACAAUUCCACUUCUCGGCAUGGACCCAGAGUAGUUGAGAGCAGGCUCUCGAACAGAUAGCUGGAUGCAGAAGGUGGAAGCCACCCAAGAGUCCAGUAACAGGUGAACAGAUGAACAAAGCGUAGUCUCUACAGGCAGUGGAAUAUUACGCAGCCUUAAAAACGAAGGCUGUUCUGACACUUGCUAUGACAUGGAUGAACCCUGAGGACAUCAUGCCCAGUGAAAUAAGCCAGACGCAAAUAGACAAUACUACAUGAUUCCACUUACCUGAGGCCCCUAGAGGAGUCAGAUUCAUAGGGACAGAAAGUAGGCGGUGGGUGCCAGGGGCUGGGAGUUAGUGCUGAAUGGGGAAGCUUCAGUUUGGGAAGACGAAAAGCUUCUGGAGGUGGUGGUGGGGCUGUUUCACAAUGGCCUGGGUGUGCUUAAUGCCCCUGAACUGCACCCUGAAAGGUGGUGGAUUUCAUGUUAGGCGUCUCUGGCUCAGACAGUAAAGAAUCCACCUGCAAUGUGGGAGAGCCAGUUUUGAUCCCUGGGUUGGAAAGAUCCCCUGGAGGAGGGCAUGGCAACCCACUCCAGUAUUCUGGCCUGGAGAAUGCCAUGGACGGAGGAGUCUGGCGGGCUACAGUCCAUAGGGUCACAAAGAGUCAAACAUGACUGAGCGACUAACACUUUCAAUUU